UACGUAGGGUGCGAGCGUUGUCCGGAAUUACUGGGCGUAAAGCGCACGUAGGCGGCUUGGUAUGUCGGGUGUGAAAUCCCCGGGCUCAACCUGGGAACUGCAUCCGAAACUGCCUUGCUAGAGUAUGGGAGAGGGAAGUGGAAUUUCCGGUGUAGCGGUGAAAUGCGUAGAUAUCGGAAGGAACAUCAGUGGCGAAGGCGACUUCCUGGACCAAUACUGACGCUCAGGUGCGAAAGCGUGGGGAGCAAACAGG
rnacentral:rRNA from 1 species